AAUGCUUCUCAGCCUUUUGGCUAAGAUCAAGUGUAGUAUCUGUUCUUAUCAGCUUAAUAUCACAUUAAAAUGUGGGUAACAGAAUCCCCC
ensembl:snRNA U2 U2 spliceosomal RNA